GAUGAAGAACGCAGCGAAAUGCGAUACGUAAUGUGAAUUGCAGAAUUCAGUGAAUCAUCGAGUCUUUGAACGCACAUUGCGCCCCCUGGUAUUCCGGGGGGCAUGCCUGUCCGAGCAUCAUUGCUGCCCUCAAGCACGGCUUGUGUGUUGGGCCUCCGUCCUCCUCCCGGGGGACGGGCCCGAAAGGCAGCGGCGGCACCGCGUCCGGUCCUCGAGCGUAUGGGGCUUCGUCACCCGCUCUUGUAGGCCCGGCCGGCGCUUGCCGACACAUCAAUCUUUUUUCCAGGUUGACCUCGGAUCAGGUAGGGAUACCCGCUGAACUUAAGCAUAUCAAUAAGCGGAGGA
rnacentral:misc_RNA from 1 species